rnacentral:rRNA from 1 species
GGACGAACGCUGGCGGCGUGCCUAAUACAUGCAAGUAGAACGCACAGUUUAUACCGUAGCUUGCUACACCAUAAACUGUGAGUUGCGAACGGGUGAGUAACGCGUAGGUAACCUGCCUGGUAGCGGGGGAUAACUAUUGGAAACGAUAGCUAAUACCGCAUAAUAUUGAUUAUUGCAUGAUAAUUGAUUGAAAGAUGCUAUUGCAUCACUACCAGAUGGACCUGCGUUGUAUUAGCUAGUAGGUGAGGUAACGGCUCACCUAGGCGACGAUACAUAGCCGACCUGAGAGGGUGAUCGGCCACACUGGGACUGAGACACGGCCCAGACUCCUACGGGAGGCAGCAGUAGGGAAUCUUCGGCAAUAGACGAAAGUCUGACCGAGCAACGCCGCGUGAGUGAAGAAGGUUUUCGGAUCGUAAAGCUCUGUUGUAAGAGAAGAACGGGUGUGAGAGUGGAAAGUUCACACUGUGACGGUAUCUUACCAGAAAGGGACGGCUAACUACGUG